GGAUGUUCCCACCACCGCCAGCAGACGACGACAUCUAUGAUGGGAUAGAAGAGGAAGAUGCUGAUGACGGUUUCCCUUCUCCUCAUAAACAACUGGAUGUGGGAGAAGAAGUUUACGAUGAUGUGGAUGCCUCAGACUUCCCCCCUCCACCUGCAGAAAUGAGUCAAGGUAUGAGUGUUGGAAAGACAAAAGCUGAAGAGAAAGAUCCUAAGAAGCUAAAAAAGCAGGAAAAGGAAGAAAAAGACCUCAGGAAAAAAUUCAAGUACGACGGUGAAAUUCGAGUUCUAUAUUCAACUAAAGUUGCAUCCUCCUUAACUUCUAAAAAGUGGGGAACGAGAGAUCUGCAGAUAAAACCUGGGGAGUCUCUUGAAGUUAUACAAAGCACAGACGACACCAAAGUUCUCU
rnacentral:lncRNA from 1 species